GGUUAAAAAGCUCGUAGUUGGAUCUCGGCGGGCAGGGGGUGGUUCGCUCUUCAGCGCUACUGCCCCGCUUUGCCCGUGUGAUUGGCGGAGGUUUCGGGGUGCUCUUCGUUGAGUGACUCGGAGCGCCGUCAGGUUUACUUUGAAAAAAUUAGAGUGCUCAAAGCAGGCUUUUCACGCUUGAAUAUUCGUGCAUGGAAUAAUGGAAUAGGAACUCGUUUCUAUUUUGUUGGUUUUCGGAAAUCGAGUUAAUGAUUAACAGGGACAAUUGGGGGCAUUAGUAUUCAGACGACAGAGGUGAAAUUCUUGGACCGUCUGAAGACUGACUACUGCGAAAGCAUUUGCCAAGAGUGUUUUCAUUAAUCAAGAACGAAAGUUAGGGGUUCGAAGGCGAUCAGAUACCGCCCUAGUUCUAACCAUAAACGAUGCCAGCUAGCGAUCUGCCGAGUUUUUUUUGUAGGCUCCGCAGGAAGCUUUCGGGAAACCAAAGCUUUUGGGUUCCGGGGGAAGUAUGGUUGCAAAGCUGAAACUUAAAGGAAUUGACGGAAGGGCACCACCAGGAGUGGAGCCUGCGGCUUAAUUUGACUCAACACGGGAAAUCUCACCAGGCCCGGACACUGGAAGGAUUGACAGAUUGAGAGCUCUUUCUCGAUUCGGU
rnacentral:rRNA from 1 species